rnacentral:lncRNA from 1 species
UGGACUUUGAGAGGAAAAGACAACAUGUGCGUGUACCUGGCCAAUUCUAACUUGUUCGACUUGACAAUUUUCCACCUCAACUCCUGCUGUGAUCUGUUUCUAAAUCCGACCUUAUUCGUCCAUUUUCAUCAGUUGAAUUUUCUAAAAAUCUGUUUCAGCAUGCCGUUCUCACAAACUACCACACUAGCAAGCUUAUUGAUACUCUGCUAUUAGAUGCCGUAUGUGGUGGUGAAUAAUUGCAGCACGCCGUGCUGAUAAUUCUGUGGCUGAUAGUGAAAGGUUGUGUGGCUGAAGCAAACUAAGGAAAGAAAAUAGAUUGGUGGCACUGAAAUAAUAGGAAGUUGUAUUAACAACUAAGAAAAGAUGCGGAGCAAAGCCAAAACUGAAAAUUAGUCUCUCAGACUUUGUAUUACUCUUCCUGGUGGAAUAAUAUUUCCAGCUUGUGAUGUUGUAUUCUUUUGCUUCCCUUGCAAUCCAUGGUAUUGGACGUGUAAGGCGGAAUCGUGUUAGCUUUAUUGGUGAGAUGAUAUCGCGGUGUGGUUCCGUUCAUGUUUUGCGAUUGUACUCCAGUUCAUGGCUGGGACUCUAUUGAUGCGUUGUGGGCUGUUUAUAUGGUGCAGGAUUAUGCUAUUUUCUUCAACAAAAUGUGAAGGAUAGAUUUCCCGAGAAGGGACAUUGGGUUGGGUUUGCGUUGCAUCAAUCUACUCCCUCCGUCUAAUGUAAAAAAACAUCCUAUGUUAUGGGACGGAGGGAGUAUUUUGCAACUUGUAUCUUGCGGUGAUGACUCUAUCAACCUAGUAUAAGAUUCCAUUGAUUCCAUUGGCUCCUCCGGCCAGCUUGGUUCCAUUCCCCGGAGGGCGAAAGAUAUCCGGCCUUCCUUUUCCCACCUAUCUUAAUAGUUGGCCCUCAUCGGGUCGGCCGCCCUCCUGCUGUUCGCUCUCUUUUAAUUUUGGGUCGGCAGUGCGUUCAACAGGCUGACCCAUUUCAUGACUGCGUGCGUUUUAGAUUAUGCCGUCGCUCUGGUUUUGGCGCACCAGCACGCGGGAAAGGUUCGCGCGCGGGGGGAAAGCGGCCUAGCGCGCGAGAAAGGUUCGCUCGCGCGCCGCGGUCGGUGCUUAUUAUAAAAAAGGCGCUCCCUCCACACUCUGUCCGCCGCCCACUCUCGUCGCCUCUGCUCGCCACCCACUCUCGCCGCCUCUGCUCGCCGCCCACUCUUGCCGCCUCUGCUCGCCGCCCACUAUCGCCGCCUCUACGCCACCAUGUCGACCCGCCGCCUGGGCGCUUCUGAUUUUCGCGGAGUCCGCGAGCGCCGCUCCGGCGCAUUCUCCUUCGAGAUCUAGUUUCGCGAGAAACGUCUCGUCCUCGGCACCUUCGACACCGCAGAGGAGGCGGCCCGCGCGCACGACGCGGCGGCGUAUCGCCUCCUGAGGCCUCGUCGGGAUGAAUUUUCCCAACGUGUCGAGCCAGCGGGAGCAGGAUCUGGCGCCUCUCCCGCGGCUUUUCAUCGACGAGGACCGUCGUGUCCAUCGGAGGCGACAGCGUCGCCUCGCCAUCGUAGAGAAGGACGUGGAAGCGUUGGUGGUGUGGCGCGGAGGCUUCCCGCAGGAUAUCAUCGACGAGCGCCAGUUCUACAAGCAAUUGAGAUCGGAGAGGGAUGUGAGGAGGAGGGAGCGAGCCGCCUAUCGGGAGGACAAGCGUUCGCGGAAGCAGGCAGCUCAAUUGAAACUGAAGUUACGAGAAACGGCGGGUUGGGACUUUGAAGACGAGGCGUAUGCUGACGCCUAUAUUCAGACAUCGGGGGAGGACAUUACCGAGUCGGAGUCAGAAAUCGACGAGUAGUGGUCUUUUCUUUUUAUCUGUGUACGCUAGAAUUAUCUAUGUAUCCAUUUUUAUCUGAAAAAAUGGCCGGUGGCGUCGGCGACAUAGCAGGCGGGCGAGGGUGUGAAUCCAAUUUGCCACCGACCAGCGAGCCCGGUGAGGAAAGAAGGCGAGCGCGCGUGCGUCCGUCUUGUGUCUGCGCCGACGCAAAUCAGGCUAAAAAAUAGGUCAGAAAUGGGUCGGCAGGCGGAUGAAAGCGGACGCGCAUCCGUUUGGGUCGGCGCGGACAAAAAAGCCGACUCAAACGGACGGCCGCGGACAAAAUGGAUCGCCCCAUUGAAAUUGCUCUCAGAGAGUAGAGUCAUGUAUUUAGGUGACACCAUAGUACCGGGCGCACGGUAGCUGCUAAGAUUGUCGAAACAUCUGAUUAUAAACAGAUUGUGAGAUGAUUUGUCGUACUAUAAAAGUUCGUAUGAAAACACAUCACUUGCCAUACCAUAAAAGUUCAAAUCAGAACAUGUUACUGAUAUUCGUUAAAGUGAUAUAUUUUGUAAUACUAAAAAACUCAAGACGCUAUGUCGAAGAGCAAUAAAAGCGGUGGUCUUGAAAAAGGAGCGAUAAAAGGAAAAAAAUAACUGCACACAAUACUUUUACACUAUCCAUGUUAUAUUGUCCGCCUCUCUUCAUCAGACUUUUGAACGAAUCGGUUGUAGCAUGAAUUCAAUGCCCUGCAUGUAAAUAAAAUGCAAACCUAAAAUGUUAAGGCAUGAUAAACACAUACUGUGUCUGUGUUUUUUUUUACUUAAAAUGUUAAGGCAUAUUGCGUUGUUUGUACAUGGCUCGUCCAAAUGUUGGCAGAGUUAAGCUGAAUACAGACGCUUCGGCCUUAGGAGAUGAAGCACGAGCAGGUAUGAUACUCAGAGACCAUGAUGAGUCCGUUAUUUUUAGCUCUUGCCGAUGCAUACAAUCAUGCGAUGAUAUUUUGGAAGUUGAACUCCUAGCAUUGAAAGAAGGAAUUUCGUUGGCGUUGCAAUGGAGUAAUUUACCCGUAGAUGUGGAAUCAAAUUGUUUGAAGGCUGUCAUGAUGAUCAAAGGAGGAAGUGGGAACAAGUCUAAGUAUGUUUUUAUCGCUAGAUAGAUUAUUAGUAGCAUGUGAGAGAGGAAUUCUUGCAUUUCUCAUACUCGUCGGAACUAUAAUAAUGUCAGUCAUGCCUUGACUAAUUUUGGUAUGAUGCAACGUCGAACUAUGGUUUGACUAGGCUCUAUCCCAGUUGAGGUCAUGCAACUUGUAGGACGAGACUGUAACCCUUGAUUUUGAGUAAUGCAUUAUUUUGAAGAAAAAAAAUGUUCUUCAAGAAAUUUAAUUAAGGCCUCAUUUGGCUCAUAGGAUAGGAAUAGAAAAAUCAUAGGAAGUGAGAUGACAUGCAUCCCAAUUCCUAUAAAGAAAAAAAUGUCAUUUAAUGAAUGAUAGGAGUUUUUUCAUUGAGUUUAGACUAAUGUUUGUUUUUCUUUAUAAUAUGAAGGAUUGAUUCAUAUCCUAUAUAGGAAUAGGAAUUCAUUCCUACAAAACAAAGGGCUUCAAAGAAUUUUUUUCCUACAAAGUUCAUAUCCUUUAUGAUUCCUACAAUAUUCCUAUGAACCAAAGUAGGCCUAAGAUCUUGGUAGCGCUACCAAGUUUACGGUAGCACCAUUUUGGCCUGAUCGAAUUUGGGGCCUCAUUUGGUUUGUAGGAAUUCUAUAGGAUAGGAUUUUCAAAGAAUUUUUUUCUUUGGAGCCUUUUGGUUUGUAGGAAUCAAUUUUUAUACCUAUGUCGGAUAGUAAUCAAUUCUUCACAUUUCAAAAAAAACAUUAACCUAGUCUAAAAAAUUAUAUCCUAUGUUCAAAUGACAUCCUUUUUUCUAUAAAAACUGAUAUGAAUGUCAUCUCAAUCGUGUAAUUUUUCUAUUCCUACAAUAUUGCUAUCCUAUGAAUCAAAGAAGUCCUCAAACGUCUCUCCUUGGAGGCGAUUUGCUUGUCGUCCUGUUCCUUGUUGAGACUUGUUAGGGCAUCUUUAAUGGCAACCCACAAAUUUCCUGGGAGGAGCCGCAUACAUUUCAAACUCUUUUGCAACAAAUCGGAUGAAAUUCAUGCAAACACGGUCGGAUUUCAUACAACAUGACGGAUUUUAUACAAACACGACGGAUUUUCAUUACAUUUCAAACAUCUAGAACAAAAAAAGGACCCGACCCUAAACCUAUCCUACAGCGGCAGUGCCCGGUGUCCAAGCCCUUACCGUUCUCCAUCCGCCGUCUUCAUGAGGACCGGCAAUAAGACCGAUGAAGUGAAGGUGCGGUCUUCGGCAAGGAAGAGUAGAACACGCGAGAUGGAUCGGCCCACAUGGGAUACUAGGCCCUGCCGCCUCCCGUGGCCUACUCAUCCUCGGAGGAGUCUGUGACAUGUUCGUCACCAGUCGACAUGAGGUCCAUAAUGGAAAUGGUGGCACCCGCGCUGUCGUCGUCCCAUUGGGCCGCCUGAUGGUUCGUUGGCGACGCGUAGAAGGCGCAGCUGGCUUUGUUCUUCUUCGUGAUCGCCUGCAACUGCGCCUCCGUGCCGGCCGCUUCUUGGCGAGCGGCGGCUUGAGCGCGGACAGCAUCAUAGAUGGUACGCUGCUCUGCGAUGAAGUUGGGGUUCGCCGCAGCCAUGGCCACCAUGGCUUCCUUGCUCGCCUGCUCGCCGUAGAUCUAGCCCUCCGCCAGCCGGUGCCACUCCAGGAGGAACAUGUUGUACCGUUGUUUCUCCUACACCUGCUGGAGUGUCGACAAAGGCGUCGGCGUAGGCUGCACCUCCGCCAUGGCGGCGUUGUAGCGCACCUGCCCUUGCUCCAACGGCGGCGUAGGCUGCACCUGCCCUUGCUAUCGUUGGAGCCUGUCUCCAUCAUGGUCUCAUCCUCGUUGUUGGAGACCUCGGGCGAGCCGGCCGACAAGCCGGCCUUGAUCUGCCUGGCACGGCGGCGGCCACGGUGUGCUUCCUCUUCGUGGAAAGGCUCGCCCACAGAGCUUGCCGCCUGCAGUCAUGGAGGAUGCGGUGUAAGAGAGGAGGAUGGGGAUGGGCUUGUGUUGUGGUGUGGAGUUAGCCGGGUGUAGCGGCCUUUAUAUAGGGGAUUUCGGUGAGGUGAGGCAUCCAGAUGCGUCAAUGCGUAGCGCCGGAGUGAGUUUCUCGGGCGGAGAGCCUGGUUAAUAGCGGCAUACGGACAGACAACGACAUUGAACGGGCGUCGUAGAUAUCCGUCCCGUCCCGUUCAGUCAUGCGUCUCCGACAUUGAACAUGCACGGACACCGGAGACGUGCCACGAACGACCUCCUCGGCCGACGUGCCGCUUCAAUGAUGGAGGUAGUGAGAGGUCGCGUCCGCCCUGAGCCGUCUUCAAUGUUGAGUGACGCGCUCUACAAUGGCAUGAAUGCGGGUAGCUGGCGCCGUGAGAGAACGCGUACAGGCGAGGGAGGAGGGUUUUGGUGGGCCAUGACGUUCAGAAGAGGGUGCGGGACCAUUCAGACUCUCGCAAAGUCCCACACGUUUGUCUCUAAUUUGCGAAAGAAAUUACAUCCUCACUGUUACAGGGACCUAUAUAAGCCCGCCUUAGAUGACUUUUAUGAUCCGGACGGUCACGGAAGAUUUAAGGUUCGGUGUUUGCCAGAUGCCCUAAGUAAAAGAGAGGGAGGAAUGGGUUUCAGAGACAUGGAGGCUUUUAAUCAAUCUCUCUUAGCAAAGCAAGCUUGGCGAUUAUUACAGCAACCGACCUCGCUUUGUGCUCGCAUUCUGAAGGCGAGAUACUACCAGGACGGUUCCAUUCUAAAUGCAACUUGCCCGAAAGGUGCUUCCUUCACUUUCCGGAGCAUUUUGUAUGGACGGGAUCUGCUACUAGAAGGGUUGAUCUGGAGAGUGGGGGAUGGUUCCAGCAUACGCAUACACCAUGACAAUUGGAUACCUUGCACCGGUUAUCUUCGGCCACUGGGCCAGAUGUACGUGCCGGGGGUGACGCGGGUGUGCCACUUGAUGAACGAGACUGGUGAUGCAUGGACCGGGCCAAACUAGACAUGAUGUUUUCCCAUGAUGAUGUACAUGAUAUUUUGAAGAUCACAAUGGGUGGCGCCGGGGCGGAGGAUUUUCUUGCGUGGAACUUCACCAACAAUGGACAAUUCACGGUCAGAUCGGCGUAUCACUUAUGUAUGGCGAAGAAGAAAGCACGGGCGGGACGGCCGGGACCUUCGUCUUCGGUGGCAGAGCACCGAGGCUGGACGGCUCUGUGGGGUGCCAGCGUGCCGGGUAAGGCGAUAAUCCAUGCAUGGAGGUUGAUUAAGAAUGGCUUGGCUGUCGGUACGGAACUGCUACGUAGACACAUUAAGGAAGGAGUAUUCUGUCCGGCAUGUGGACGUGAAGAAUCAAUACUGCACCGCUUCUGGUAUUGCCAUCAUUCAGUUUUGUUUUGGAAAGAGUUAGGCUCAAUAUUGGGAACAAGGGUGGCCACCCCACCCAGCUCGACGAGUUCCCAGGGCCAACUAGCGGCAUGGUUGCUUCAGUGGGUGUCGGAGGCGGAUGAUGAUGCUAAAGCCAUUAUGAUACAGGGGCUAUAUACGCUGUGGCUGGCAAGGAAUGACACUCGAGAAGGGAAGAAGAUUGAUGAUCCGGUGACAGUUGCAGGAAGGGUAGCUGGGUAUCUAGCGGAGUGGAAGAGUGUUCAUGCUGAACGAGCACCUAAAGUACGACAUGCCUCUGUGGAGAAGUGGAAGCCACCGGAAUUUGGAUGGGUGAAAGCUAAUGUGGAUGGCGCCAUGGCGAGGUCAGAGCAAGCGGGAGGUGGGGGAGUUAUCCUUCGAGAUGAAAAUGGUGCGUUCAGAGGGGCUGCUAGCUUCUUCUUUCCUGUAUGCUCAAAACCGGAGAUAGCCGAGCUAUUGGCGUGUAAACGAGCGUUUCAGUGGGCAGUUCAGAGGAACAUACAAAGGCUACACUUGAAAACGGACUCGCAGGUGGUGGCGGGAAUGCUGGUGAGUGAGGAGAAGAACUUGUCACACGCUGGACAAGUGGUAGAACAAAUUAAAGUUCUGAUCAAGUCAAGAGAACAAUUCAAGCUCACCUGGGUUCGGAGAACGGCAAAUGGAGCUGCACAUGCGUUGGCUAAACUGGGAGUGAGUUCUAGUGAUUCGGUUUUUUGGGACUUGGUCCCUCCAGAUUGUAUUCUUAGCAUUGUUUCAGACGAAAAUCCUAAUUUAGUUUAAUAAAGUUGGGUUGGAACUUUUAAAAAAAAAGUGUCUUCCAAAAAUUUGAGGUCCAAUUAACUAUAGCAAACACAGAGCAAUGCGUUUUCGUGAAAAGAUGAAAAACCAGCAUACAUCUAUCUGCAUAAAAACAAGCAAAGAAUUAUUGCACACGCCCUGUCGAGCAACAUGUACGCGAAGGGAAUCCGUGCACGGCUCCUCCAGCCGAGUGCACUAGCACCAGCACCGAACAAGCACAGUCUUUCGGCCGUCAAUUAAUCAAUCAAACGGCUCUGGUUCGAUUCCCCCAACGCAAGAGGGGAAUCCGCAUCCAGCCCAGCCGUGCCUUUACUCCCGACACCUUUGCUGCGUGCACAGCCCUAAAAUCGGCUUUGCGCGAGCACGGGGCGGCAGUACCCCCCGCAAUAACGUUUGACCGCCUUGCGCGUUUAUCACGCUCCGUAAUCAAUUCCGUAAUAAACAAAACUGACAUGAACGCAGAGGGUUUUGGCGUGACAUCCUUCACUGCGUAGCAUUUACUCCUUCAGGUUGCGAGCAGUCGGUCGGGUAUCCCUCGCUUGUCCCAUUUUGCUUCCUUCCCCUGUAGUAGUACUACUACUACUGCGCUGCGCUGCCUACUCAUCAUCAUCAAGGAGCUCCUCCCUCCUACACAUGCCAAGCUGCCGCCAGCCCUUCAUUGAUCGCUUCAAGUGAAUCAUUGCACGGCCGAGAUCUCCACACACACUUUCCCCUAAUAUAAUCAAUCAAUGCCCACUCUGUGGUACGUACUGCUGCUCCUGCUAAACCCCAGCAGCGCCUCUCUUUUUGCCGGGGAAAACCUGAGUAAUUAAACUACUCGGGGUUAACGACCACAGGGGGUGGUCAAGUAUCCAUCAUCACAUGCACUUUGCUCACGGUAAGUAGAGUAUAGUGGAGCUGCAGUCGGAUGAUGGCCAGCGGGCGGCGGCAGCAGCAGCGGCAUGUGCUCCCUGUAGAUUAGAUUAGAUUUGCACGACGGUGUUUCAGGAAUAAACAAGAGGGCCGGGAAUAAUGCAGUACAUGCCGUGCCGUGGGGCUGCCCGCGGAUUGGAUCGCUGUGCGUCCGUGACUAAUCCAAUCAUCGUCUAGAGAGAGAGAGCGCGAGGGAAAAAGCGAACGAAAAUGCUGCUGCGGCAGUAAAACGGGGAUGGGGAAGGGCGAGUGGGCAGGAGGAGCGCAAUGAUAGGGGGUGCGUACGGCGGCGCGGCUUUGCGUACAGCCAGUCAAAAGCAUCAUCCCUGUACUGUACUAGUACGUCCGUCCCUGCCUGCUGCUCUCUCUCUUUUCACAUCUCCUCGGUCGGAGCAGGGCACGGGAAAGUGAGAAGGGGGGGAGCCCAUCCAUCCGGCUGAGCACCUCCCUCCCUCCUCCUGUAGGGUGGUGGUACGGUACCGCUAGUCGUCUCCUGCUAGCCUCGCCCGAAACAGGCACAAUAAUUCAGCCGGUCGACACGGCUUUCACCCUCCGUUUUCCCUCUUAGCUCCCCUAGGUAAACCACUGUGGCGGUGGGACUAGCAGGGCGGGGCAGGCACGGCGGAGGGAGAAGCCCCUUUCUCCACGCGCAAUCCAUGAUGGAAUCACGUUUCCGGGCACGUCGCCGGCCGCAAAGCCCGGGCGAGGAAACGGAACCCAAAUCUAUCCAUCUACUCCCAACGGAGUAGUAUCUAUCUAUACACCGUAAACUCCAAAAAUACACCCGGUUUCACCGCCAGCUCCCAACGGAGAAACCAACCACGCAGAAGCAUCGCCUCCGCUCCGUGCCGCGCCGAGUAGGAGGAAGAGAGAGAGAAGAGGAGUAUACAGUGGGAUACUGGGAGGAGCUACAGGGGAGAUUCGCGGUGGGGCGCAAGGGGCCGCACGCGCAGGACAAGGCGGGGCGUAAAUGCGGUUUUGGACCGCUGCGUCGGCGUGCGCGGUGCCGUGAACCGCUCCCCCCGCGAACCAAAGGCAGAGCAGAGGGGGUGACGACGCGGGGCAGAACAAAACAACCGCUUCCUCCUGCCACCUCCCUCUGCACUGCGCCGCCGUGCUGAAUCGCUUUUUUGACCGCUUCUGCGCUCCCCGUCUACCCCGCUACGCUUCCGACCCACCACCAGCGCAAGCACCACACGCUAGCGGUAGCGUCCUGGGAGCGGUACUACUACCAUACCAUACCGCCACCGCUGGAAGCCGCUGUACCGCUACCACGCCACUCCCCCACUCCCCACUGCCCCGCUACCACCACGCGGCGGCUCGCAUUGUGGCUCUGGUUUGAGCGAGGGAGGGAGGGGCUCGGGAGGAGGAGGAGGAGCGCGUGCGCGUGUGAUCUGAGGCGGAGGGGAGGGGCGCGAGAGAGAUGGCCGGAGGUGGGGGAGGAGGCGGCGGCGGCGGGGGGCAGAAGCAGGACGACUUGGCGCCGCACCCCGUCAAGGACCAGCUUCCCGGGGUCUCCUACUGUAUCACCAGUCCACCACCGUGGCGUGAGUGCUCCCGCUCCCUCCCUUCCUCCCACGUGCUCCCCCGUUCGUCCGUCCCUCGCCGGCGGUGGCGGUUUUUUUGGGCGUCCGUUUCGGGGUUUCUCGGGCUGGGUUUUCCGGUUGCGAUGGCGACGGGCUGCUUGCUGGUCGCAUCACGAACUUUGCCGUGGCUCCCGUCGUUUUCGGGGGUGGUGGGUUCGUGUUCGUGGCCUCGGUGGUUGGUGGAUGGGCUCCUGGAUGCUUCGCCUCGCUCCAGCUUGCUGCGCGGCGAGGAACCGCCGCCAGAUCUAUCUGCCCGAGCUUUGCUUCCCGGCGGAUAUUCCAAAAAUAAAAAGCAGACUGCCUUUUCCGUUUUGUUCCCCUGGUAGUUUAUUAAUGCGCUUUAAUGAGGUGCCCCGUUGAAUAUCCACUGCUUAGUUUAGUUUAUCUAAUAACUGCUGCUGCUGCAAAGCUUUGACCCGUGCUGAUGCGCGUACUCGACAUUCAACACACAAGGAAUUUGCAUGAUUGUCGGAUGGGGGCUUCGGAUGGAUUUUCUGGUUGUUUUUACCGCCUUUGAUGCUCAAGUCGAGUCGCAGACUGGUUCUGAAUCUGCGUUCCAGCUUCGCUGUCGCCUUGACUUGAGUCAGCGUCAACAUGAUUUGUGACUUCGAUUCUUACGAGUUUCCAUGAAAUCUGGUGCUAUAUUUGCGAUUUUGUCGGUAGUAAUUAAUCUUUGGAUUCACAUGAACUCACGCGUUGACUCGUUUCAGCUUUACCGCGUGCACCGGGCGUUCGUUUUUGUUACUAUAUACUGUUGCCAAUCUAUCUUCUAUAUUUAGUUGGCGUGUUCCGUGCUGCGCAUCCAGUGCAUGCAUCCUAGGCACGGACCGUGUCGGUAGGUGGUUCCAAACCGGAGGUCCAUGUCCGCCCAUCGUUGUCACUUUCAGCACCUGCAUUGAUUCUUCAGUUACUUGGCAGGGGCAUUUCCAUUUUCUACCUCGUGUGUUAUCAUAUCAUGCAUUCUUUGUCUGUUUUAGAGAGCUUGUUCCCAAGCAGCUUUGUUUUGGUUAAUGCAAUGUGCAUGGGCGCUGCAGUACAGAUAGUACCAGUAAUAAAUAUGAUCCGUUUUGUAGAAGAGCGAAUUCUUGUUUGGUUCUGAGUCCCUUGUCUGUGUCUGAACCGAGUCAAAUCCACACAUGUAAGGCUGACACUGUAAAUAAAGAGAAUCACAUUUAUAUUAUCCUAAUCUUCUUUAUGCAUUUAAUGUGUACCCUUCCUAACCUGAGUUCUGUAUGCAGGAGGGGGGGGGGGGUCCUUGUUAGUUCCUUUUAUGUCUUCCUAUCUUGAAUUACUGCUCAUACCUCCUGAGUUCGAAGACACAUACUCCCUCUGUUCCAUAACGUAGUGCAUAUAGAAUUUUUGAGAAGUCAAGCAUCGCAAACUUUGACCAAAUUUGUGGAGAAAAACAUUUCCAUCUAGAAUGCUAAACUUAUAUCAUUAGAUUCAUUAUAAGAUGAACUUUCAUAUUAUAUAUAUUUUGUAUUGUACUCCCUCCGUCCCAAAAUUCUUGUCUUAGAUUUGUCUAAAUACGGAUGUAUCUAGUUACAUUUUAGUGUUAGAUGCAUCCGUAUCUAGACAAAUGUAAGACAAGAAUUUUGAGACGGAGGGAGUAGAUAUGAAUAGUUACCUCUAAUAAUUUGUUCAAAGUUGAACUUUUCAAAAAAUCUACACGCACUAUAUUAUGGAAUGGAGUGAUGUUUACAUGGGAGUAGUUGUAAGGUUGAAUGCUCUGCAUGGACAAAUGAUGAACCAGAAGUCCUUUUUGUUCAGAAUAUUGACUGGAUGAUGUGGUCAUAUCGGCAAUUAUAUUUUUGUUUUGCAUCCAUUAACUUAAUCUUUUGCUAGCCUUGCGAAGUAUAUCUAUAGAAAGCAGGAAAAUUUUGCUAGAGAAAUAGUUUAUCUAUACACUUCCACUAUAUUCUGUUUAACUUAUAUGUGAUCAGAGAGAAACUUAGUUCUGAAAUUUUGACUAUGAAAUUUUACAUAAUGCAGCGGAGGCCAUUCUCCUUGGCUUUCAGCAUUAUCUGGUGAUGCUGGGAACUACUGUUAUCAUACCUACUGCACUUGUUCCACAAAUGGGAGGAAACAAUGUAAGGCUACACCAGUUUACCAAGUUCUGUUGCUUUGGACUGAGUCUGUCGAUUUUUUUUAUUGAGAAUCAAUCUGUCGAUUGAUGACUGUUUCUAACUUUGUUAGGAGGACAAGGCAGUUGUUAUCCAGACAUUGCUCUUUGUGGCUGGAAUCAACACCCUCCUACAGAGUUUCUUUGGUACCCGAUUGCCUGCAGUGAUUGGUGGAUCUUACACCUUUGUUCUACCCACCAUUUCGAUCAUACUUGCAGGACGCUACAUGAACGAACCUGAUCCACACACUGUAUGUUGAAAAUAAGGAUAAUUGUACUUGCUUCCCAGUAAUCUUUUCCUACAUGUAGACUGAUGAGUCACCUGGAUUUUGAUUUUAAAGAAAUUCCUCAAAAUCAUGCGUGGAACACAAGGUGCUUUGAUCGUUGCUUCUGCACUACAGAUCAUAGUUGGCUUCAGUGGCCUUUGGCGUAAUGUUGCCAGGUAGGAAGAUGAACAAUGCGUAAUUGUUAUGUCUCAACUCAAUUGCUGUUUCAGAGGCACCGAAGUAAAAAGUGUUCUAGCAGGAAUAGCAUGUUUAAUUUUCAAUCUCAUGAAUAUACUGAUUUUGUUUCAGAUAUCUCAGUCCACUAUCAGCUGCUCCUUUGAUAGCGUUAGUUGGCUUUGGACUGUAUGAGCUGGGUUUUCCAUCGGUAAGAUCUGAGAAUUGUGUUUCUACUCGAUACUUGUUUAAUCAUACAUACUUAUGUUUGAACAACAAAUACACAGGUCGCUAAAUGUGUUGAGAUUGGUCUGCCUGAACUGAUCCUCCUGGUGAUAUUUGCUAUGGUUUGACACAAUUCCUAUGCACUCAAUAUUUUUAACCUUUUGUUACCCAGCAUAACUAUGUGCCCCAGCUGCAUUUUUACGCCCCCAUACCCUUUCAUUUUUGCAGUACCUGCCCCAUACUAUACAUAUGAUGAAGUCUAUCUUCGACCGGUUUGCUGUUCUAUUCACUAUUCCCAUAGUGUGGCUCUAUGCAUAUCUGCUGACGGUUGGAGGAGCUUACAGGAAUGUUUCACCAAAGACCCAAUUUCAUUGCCGCACUGACCGCUCUGGUCUAAUUGGUGGUGCCCCCUGGUAUUGUUUUGUUUUUCUGAAGAUAUGCUUGUUCCAUUUGCACCAGCCUUGCCUGUUCAGUAACACGAAUGUCUCCGUUUCUUCUACUAUAAUGACAGGAUAAGAGUACCAUAUCCCUUCCAGUGGGGUGCUCCAACUUUUGAUGCUGGCGAAGCUUUUGCCAUGAUGGCUGCAUCAUUUGUUGCUCUGGUGGAGGUUCGACCCCCNNNNNNNNNNNNNNNNNNNNNNNNNNNNNNNNNNNNNNNNNNNNNNNNNNNNNNNNNNNNNNNNNNNNNNNNNNNNNNNNNNNNNNNNNNNNNNNNNNNNNNNNNNNNNNNNNNNNNNNNNNNNNNNNNNNNNNNNNNNNNNNNNNNNNNGUACCAGUUUUCCACCCUCUAUUUGUACUCACUUGAUCUUCUUAAAUAAUGAAAUAAUCAAUCUCCCAACUUCUAUGUUUGUAGUCUACUGGUUCCUUCAUUGCUGUUUCAAGAUUUGCAAGUGCCACACCUCUCCCACCCUCUGUACUUAGCCGUGGUGUUGGCUGGCAGGUAUGUGCUAACUUUGCAUCCGCCACAUGCCAGGCUUGACUAGAUCAAUCUCCAACUUUGAACUCACUCGAUGCGUAUGCAACUCUUCUUGCUACAGGGUGUUGGUAUCCUUCUGGAUGGGCUAUUUGGAACUGGAAAUGGAUCUUCUGUAUCGAUGUAAGCAUCAUAUAAUUUAUACUAAUACCUAGGAAUGCACCUUAUUUCCAUUUGAUGCAUCAACCACUAUUCGUAUCAACGUUGUGCAACCAUUAUGCUUCUUUGCAGUGAAAAUGCUGGGUUGCUAGCCUUGACACGUGUUGGUAGCCGAAGAGUAGUGCAAAUAUCAGCUGGUUUUAUGAUAUUCUUCUCUAUCCUUGGUAAGUUUGCUUCCUAUGAAUCUGGUAUUUUGAUUAUUCUGUAGGUCAGUAUAGGUAGCAUAUUUACUCAGAUUUUGUACUUAAUUUAGUAAUUCCCAAAUUGACCUGCUUAUAUGUCGUAUGUUGCAUCAUUGUAUUUCGUAGGCUGUUUAUUUGGUGCAGUUCUGUAGCUUGUUAUUUUGCUUCUAGUGUCUGGGCUGUACCGAUGCAUGUCUCAUGCUUGAUUAGAAGAGCUUCUGUGUAUGUUGUGUGGAAACUGUGGAAAUGUGAAGUGUGAUAAUGUGCCUUCUCACUUGCGUAUUUUACUACCUGUUACCAGUGUAAUAUUGCUUAUAAUGCUUAGCACAAUAACAUAUAUUCAGAGCUGGUUGACAUUACAAUUUGCAGUUAACUUAGCUCUGACCUAGAACAAUUGCCUGUGUCUUCCCAGGAAAAUUUGGAGCUGUCUUUGCAUCAAUACCUGCACCCAUCUUUGCAGCCCUCUACUGCGUCUUCUUUGCAUACGUUGGUGGGUGAAAAUCUUCAGAUCACUCAUUACGAUUUCCAUUUAAAUUGCAAAAAAAUUACUCCCUCCGAUCCAAAAUAAUUGAACUAAAACCACGACACUUGGAUCGGAGGGAGUACAUAUGAGAGAAAAAAUGGUAUUCUGAUAGAAGCUCUGGAUUAAUCUGUUAACAGGUUCUGCUGGGCUUGGCUUCCUUCAGUUCUGCAAUCUCAAUAGCUUCAGGACAAAGUUCAUCCUUGGGUUCUCUGUGUUCAUGGGCUUUUCAGUUCCACAGUACUUCAACGAGUACACGUCCGUCGCGGGGUUCGGCCCUGUGCACACGCGUGCAAGAUGGGUACGUAGCAGUGCAAUCGAUCACGCUUGCUUCCUCUGUGAACGGACACUGACCGUUUGUUUCAUCUAACUUCCACAGUUCAACGACAUGGUGAAUGUGCUGUUCUCGUCCAAGGCUUUCGUUGGUGGCAUUGUUGCAUACGUGCUGGACAACACGCUACACAGGCAUGACGGCGCUGUCAGGAAAGACCGCGGAUACCACUGGUGGGACAAGUUCCGGUCGUACCGGACCGACACAAGGAGCGAGGAGUUCUACUCCCUGCCGUUCAACCUCAACAAGUUCUUCCCCUCGGUUUGAGCAAAGCUGUGAUUAAUGCAACAAGGCACUAAGGUUACCUGUACUAUCUGCCUCUCCCCCAAGUUCUCUGAAAGUGCCAAACUGUUGGGCUGAACUGUCUUGCUGCAGGGAAAUCCUAUGCCCUUAAUCAGGGUCCAAACCCUAUGGUAUAAUCGGCGUUUCGGUGUCUCGCUAGAACUAUGUUCCGCUAUGUUAGGUUACCGCUGUAUAUUUGAUACCCUAUUCGGGGCAAUGACUAGGAAGUUUUGCUACUCAUUUGCAUAUGGGAAGGGUGCGUUAGUUCUUAGUUCUUACCUCUAGUAGUUUAUCUCAUUCUGAGACGUGGUCACUCUAUUGACAGCCAUUGUGGCGCUACUACUUAGCAGUGAAGCUAUGAUCUGUAUGUUGUAGGUUUUAGCAGAACAAUCGAAUGGUAUUCUACCUGUUAUGCUAUGUAUCUGUGGAAUUGCGGUAGGACACUAAUAGUAAUGUUGUCGGGCGGUGACGGAAUGGCGGUCGUUAUGGAUGAUUAAUUAAUUUUCCUACCACAGCAUGUUUGCAGCUAUACUUAGACUUGAAUAUUUCGGAAGAUAUAUGAAGUUCUGAAUGUUUCUUCUGGCAUACUACAGCUCUUUUCCAUGUCGUUUCUUCUCUAUCUUCUGGAUGGAUUUUUUAGGGUAUAUAUUUGUUCUGAAUACUGCGAGCUGAUACUGACAGAGCGCGUGGAACUCUAGUCGCCUUCCAAGUAAAAUAAAUAAAUGAAACCUCUCAGUAAAUUUGAGAUGUGGAUUUUAUCUACUUUUAUUCAGUUUGUCAAAGUUCGAUGGGGACCGCCUGUUUGUGAACAUCUUCUAUACCACUAGAGGCAAACAUUCGCUUUGUCGCGCUGUUUUUCAUUCAUUUGUGGAUUAACACUUUUUUCUCUAGCAGAUUAUUACGGUUGGUUGUUACCUUUUGAUUUUAUCUAUGUUGGCUUGGAUUUUAAUGAUGUUAUGGAGUAUUUUUUCGUCAGUCAUAUAUCAUGUUGGAUUGUUGUUGAAGAUGAUAUUUAUUCCGAGAGAAAAGUGGAUUUGUUAAAUGCGUGGAUGGGAGGUUCUUACAGUUUCAACUCUAGUAUCCACCGGUAGUGGUUGUGUGAGCCCUUGGGUGUUCUUAUUCUAUGUUGAAACCAUGGAAUUGCUGCCAUAACCUUUACGUAGGUCGGCCCACGAAGUUCUCGCUUGCUCAGCCCGGCUCCCUAACUCCACUCGCUCUUUUAGCCAUUUUUUUCUGCCACUCCAUUGCUAAUCUACCAAUGUAAAAUGUGAAUUAUUGAGAAAAAAAUAUCAUGAAUUUACAUUUUUUCGUGGAUUUCAAAUCAUGUUUACAAAUUUGAAAAGGGGUUUUAAAAUUUAAAAAAUUCAUGGACUUUAGAAAUGUUCAUGAAAUUUUAAAAUGUUCAUAAGUUUUCUUAAAUCUUACGACUUUAAUAAAUAUUUAUGGACUAACAUGUGAAAAGUAAUUUUGAGAGAUAAAAAGAGAAGAAAAAAGAAAUAAAAAACCAAAAGAAAAACUAAUAAAAUCGGUGAAAAUACGGAAAAUAAAGAAAACUAUAAUAUGAAAGAAAGGAAGAACAAACAAAAAAAUCAGAAAAGAAGGGGAAAAACUACUAAAGCUGUUUAAAAUGCAGAAAACAAAAAAAAUCUAAGCCAUACCUUUCAAAACGAGAAAAAAUGGCUGGCUCAUCGGCACACACCAUUACACGCGGAGGCCGUAGUGUCUCCCACAACCCCGAAUACACUAUGAGGCUCUAAAUUAAGUAGCUUACUAUUUUAACUAGAACAUGUCGCACGCUUUGCCACAUCGUUCUUUCUACAUGGUUCCAUUUUUUUCCUGUGGUCGCACCAGGACCAUGGCUGGUCGGUGGGUUACAGACUUUAGUUAUGUUAUUGUGAUUGGUGUUUUUCUUUGCUGUGGUGUUGUCCUUUGUUUUAACUGAAGAAAUAGUUUAGACGCGACGAGAAGGCAUCGUUAAUUACAUAUGACAUGUCUUUUGUGGGAAAUUCACACUUUUUUAGGGUUGGCCAUUCACACAUGUCCUAACCAUAGAGCAAAGCACGCCUCCAGCAACGCACACACAAGCGCAAGGGCUGCUAUAUGACGAUUAGAGCGUCCAAUAGCACUAUCCCCCGCUACCUUAUAUAUUGAGUCGGCUCAUUAGCAUAGGUUAACUAAGAUUUCUUUUCCUUUUUCUAUUGAUUUUUUAUUUCAUUUUCCUAAACAAUAACUAAAUGUUUAGGUAUUUCUGAUAACGUUUGUGAUAUUUUGAAUUAUGCACAUAUACUUAAAAAUAUAUUUUCAUAUAUUUUAGUGAAUUUGAAACAUGGUCGUGAUAUUUUAAAAAGUAUUCACAUAACUUAAAAAUAUUUCUGCAUAAUUUUUAAUGUCCAUAAAAAUUAAAGAAGUGUUUAUGAAUUGUAAAAAGUGUCCACACUUUCAAAAUUGUUCAUGUAGUUAAAAAUCAUUUAUAUGUAUUUUUGAAAAGUAUUCAAGCAUUAUCAAACGUUUUUAAUAAAAACAAUUCAUCUAUUUACAUAGAUUUUUGCACAUAUUAAAAAAAUCACAAAAUAUAAAAAUGUUUGUGGUAUUUUUUAAAGCGUCAUGUAUUUUAAAGAAAUGUCGUAUAUUUUCUUUAAAAGUGUGUGUUUAAACAUACAUUGGCUAGCUGCCUUUUGUAGCACGCGUACUCUGAUCCUCUUCUACGAAUCUACGACUCUCUUUACUGAGCGAGAGUUCAUAUGUUCGUUCACAAUUUUUCAUGAAAAAAGGAAAAACCCGUAGGAAAAAGAAAAUACUAGAAAAACAGUAGAGUAAAUAAUCAAAUACUUCAAGAAUGAAGUGUGUGUGUGUGUGUGUGUGAGAGAGAGAGAGAGAGAGAGAGAGAGAGAGAGAGAGAGAGACUCUUCUUGUUUCUUAGCUGAACUCCAUUCCUAGUUUGGUUUGUUUCAUGCUGGGCAUGGGUAAUCGUUCUUGAUUUGGUGGUGGAGUUUACCUUCUUGAUAGAUCCGUCAAACGAUAGACGAAGUGCUAUACAUAGUUGGAUUGUUGUUUCAUGGAAGACAACAAAUGCAAGUCACGCAUCGUAGGCAACUAGCCCAACCCGUCUAGCCCACAUACACGAGCAAAGGCCCACCUGCCACCAAAACUCGCGACACACCAGGAGGCUCCGUUUCGAGGGAGUUUAGUGAUUGAGGAGAUAGAUACUAAAACCACACUAGGGAAAAAUGAUAGCUAAAAAACUCAUAAAACUAUAAACGACUUGUCGUUUAUUCAAUGGACUACUGUUGUAAUUAAUAUAUAGGUAGCCAAUAGAUUUUCAUAACUACAUCUAAAACAUUAAAUUUUUAUACAUACCUAAUCGGAUAAUAACUAACAAUAGUUAAACCUUCAAGUAGAUGUUUGUAGAUACCAAAAAAACUAAUGAGAAGAAAAGAGAACCGACCUACACUUGAAAAACAAAAUACAAAAACAUGAACCUACACUUGAAAAACAAAAUACAUCAAUAUCUUUACCCAAGUUCGGGCGUAAAGUAAGAACAAUGCGUCAAUCUAACGUUGCGUGCUUACAUACAACUAACUAGUCGUUGUAUGCUAGUUCUGGUAACAAUAUAUAUGAUAUCACAAAAAAUUAUACAUAUAACUUUCAUGCAUAAAUGGCAUCAAACUUCCCAUUUAAAUUCUAGCUCCAUUAUCUAAUACAAUAAUUGAUUUGCUUGGUAUUUAUUAUGAGCCUCUAGACGUGGUGGGCGCGAUCACAGGCUAUGUUGUAUGCCUAGUAAAGAAAAAUAAUGCGUAAAAUUUCCUUAUUUAGUGUAAAAAGAAGUCCAGUAGAACACUUGAAAUUAUUGCCAUCCAUGCAUGUGUAUGUACGUAAUUUUUAAAUUUGUCAUCAAGAUAUAUAAAUUUACUAACCCCCCGCCCUGUAUAACUGUAAAUGGUCUACUGUCUCAGGCUUCUCUUAUUAGAUUGAUAUGUGUGCCAUGGUAUAUUGGCUACAAACAACUGAGCUUGCAACUAUCGCAAUCUAGAAUUUUAGUCCAAACUCACCGCAAUAACAACAACAACAACAAGAACACCAAUAAUAAUAAUAAUAAUAAUAAUAAUAAUAAUGCCACACGGUGAUGUAAUAUCUUGAACUAACGGAUCACGAAAACUCAAGAGUAAUGCUUGAUUCUGCAUACAUACUAAUAUUAGAUUACGUACAAUCAAUACAACCGGUCAACGAGAUGCUCGGCAUGACAAUACAUGUUAUUAAUUCAAGGAGACAGAUAGAUACCAAAAUCAAGGGACUCCGUAACACACAUUGAAACAUCAACCUCCAUCGUCCAUUUUGUUUCGUUUCAUCCCGGCCACGCCAUCGACCACACUAGCUGUGAAGCAUUUUCUCCUUUUGUUUCCGUGAGAGACAACCCCAACGAAGAACAAUCGAGUGUGUACAAGAUGCGGGCCCAUGGCCUUUUCCUCACCACGAAACGCCUCGGCUCUUGUAUGCAAUUUUGACUUGCUUCGCCGAUCACACGAGUAAUAACAAACAAACGGUUGCCGCCUAGCAUCGGUAGAUCGCCUUUAACACGUGAAGGUGUGACAUCAUUUUGAGCUUUAUGUGGUGUACACAUAGGAGGGCUAGUGAAGAAAUGACCACAAUGGUCUUGUACAACUUUGAAUACCUAAAAAUGUAGAAUGGCGGGACAAGGUGUCCUAAAUGCGCAUGGGAAGAUGAAUGUGCACUUGACAAAAGGUCAACCAAAAAGUGCAAACAAAGCAUAUGGACUAAUCCGAACCUCCGUUGAAAUUUAGUUGGGCGGUAACCUACUAAACCCCCAUUUUCCUACGUGUUCGAUGGAAAGAUGUUUGCUCUAAAAAUAUGCUUUGAGUACUGUCGGUGUCAAAACCGGCGGAUCUCGGGUAGGGGGUCCCGAACUGCGCGUCUAGGCUGGAUGGUAACAGGAGGCAAGUGACACGAAGUUUUACCCAGGUUCGGGCCCUCUAGAUGGAGGUAAAACCCUACGUCCUGCUUGAUUAAUAUUGAUGAUAUGGGUAGUACAAGAGUAGAUCUACCACGAGAUCGGAGAGGCUAAACCCUAGAAGCUAGCCUAUGGUAUGAUUGUUGUUGUCUAUGUUGUCCUACGGACUAAAACCCUCCGGUUUAUAUAGACACCGGAGAGGGUUAGGGUUACACAAAGUCGGUUACAAUGGUAGGAGAUCUGAACAUCCGUAUCGCCAAGCUUACCUUCCACGCCAAGGAAAGUCCCUUCCGGACACAGGACGAAAUCUUCAAUCUUGUAUCUUCAUAGUCCAGGAGUUCGGCCGAAGGUAUAGUCCGGCUAUCCGGACACCCCCUAAUCCAGGACUCCCUCAAUAGCCCCCGAACCAGGCUUCAAUGACGAUGAGUCCGGCGCGCAGAUUGUCUUCGACAUUGCAAGGCGGGUUCUCCCCCAAAUUCCGUGUACCUGUUGAAUAAAGUCCGGUUUCUUGUAGAUGUUGCGCUCCUUGGCUUCUACGCCCAACAAUGGCCGCUUCCCACGUGUCAAAUGAAUAUGAAAAGUCUGAGUGCUUUUACAUUCACACCCCUAGCCGCGUAAAUGAGCUGCCCUAUUUAAGGGGACGAGGAUUUAGAUCCAAACCACAUCUUCCCCCCUCGCGAGUAUUCAUCAGAGCGCAUCCGACAAAGGUCCAUUCCACCAUGGCCAGCCAUCACAACUCCUCCUCUCGCUCUUCCAGCCCUCAGCCUGGGUACUGGGAGAGAUGCUCCGUCCCGCAUAGCGAGCUAGUGAAGCUCCAGACCAAGGGAUUUCUCCCCCCGGCCUACAUGGUCCCGAUUCGAGCCGGUCUUGCCAUCUAUAAUGGCGGAAAGCAAGCGGAGAGUGCCCCCAAUCCCUCCAAAGGAGAGCGGGUAUGCCUUGUCCCUUAUUUAAUAAGGGGGCUCGGGUUUCCAAUCCACCCAUUUCUCCGGGGGCUACUGGAGUUCUACGGCCUCCAGCUACACAAUCUCACGCCAGCCUCCGUAUUGCAUAUCGCGGGCUUCGUAGCCCUCUGCGAGCUGUAUUUGAGCGUCGAGGCUCAUUUCGGGCUAUGGAAAAGGUUAUUCUGCCUUGUGCCCUGCUCUAUCUGUCCGGAACCCCAAAGAAGGCGUCCGAAGACUGGCCCUCGGAAUGGUUCUAUAUAGAAGAUGUCCCGCUGCCGGAUCCUGUCCAGGUCGGCCUCCUUGAAUUCGACGGUGCUCCCUUAAAGAAGCGCCUAAGCUGGCGUCCGCGGAGCCCUCAAAAGGAAAGUGACAGGGACAUCAUUUACCUGAUGGGCCGAAUAAGACUGUUGGCCCAUUCCGGACUAACCAUGAUCGGAGUUAUGGCCGGAUGCAUCAUGCGGGGGGUGCAGCCGCUUCAGUAUAGAAGCCACCCCAUGUGGGACUUCAACGGGGAGGACGACGCCACCCGCUGCGGCUGUAAGGGGCCGGAUUCGGCUGCCGCUCUACUAAGGAUCUUGUCCACUUUGUACAAGGGAGAAGAGGAGGAAUUUCUCCGCGUCAACCCACAUGGUGAAUUCUCUAUGCACAAUCCCCCAAGCUGGGUAAGUGGUCGCAUUUACUUGCUCAUCCGUUUCGUAUUCCCAUUGUUAAAUAUUCAGUCUGAUGACUUCAACGCAGGAACUGCGCCGGGCUGUUAAGGAAAUAAGCAGCCCUCCUCCACAACCCGAGGACCUAGGACGGUCCCCCGACCCGGCCUCUCAAGAGGAUCCGGACAUAUCUGUGGAGCUAAUUGAUGGAGUGUUCCAUCAAUCGAGUAUGGACAAUGCCUUGGUAGCCAUUACGGCUGAUUACCCAGGGCUAAUUCCGGCCUCCCAGGUAACUGAGAUCAAAGUCCCAGUACCCCGAAUGGGUGUCUGCCCUCUCGUGUUUUCAGUUUCCUGAUUACAACCGAACUUUGCAGGGGAGGUUUUUGAGGCGGAAGGCCGAACCUGCGGCGACAAGCCAACGAAGGGCCGUAGGGCCCCGUGGGCAGAAAAGAAGUGCGGUCCGGACCGAGGCAUCAGGGCAAAGGUAUGGUGCACCCCCCAUCCUAGGUGUUAUACCUUUGAGGCACAUUUGACACUUAUGCUUUCUUUAGGACAAAGAGACCUCGCCGGACUAUAUCCGGAGAGGCUGCCAAUCGCGCCUCCACCAGCCAGGCUCCAAAGCCUGGUCCAGAGGCGGAGGCGAACGCAAGGCGCGUGCUAGACGCUCCUCCGACGGAAGAUGCGGACGGGUUGUCUGCCACCAACUCUGAGGUGGAGAGUGCCAUGAACCACAGGCGCCGCCGGACAAUUCUUCGCGACGCUUGUUUCUCCCAAGGGGCGUUAGAUGCCUUCAAUUCGGGAGAUGCGUACCUCCGUGCCGCUCAAAAUGGUCUAGCCAGAGCCACGGAGCAAUAUGUGAAAGACAUACGGGUAAGAAAAUUUUGGUAAUUAUAUAUAGACCAGUAGCCCCCGAGACUUGAAACAGUUAGAAUAACUGAUUUAAGGAUCAUUUGUUAUGCAGGUUCUUACAGAGAAGAAUUCCCUACUGUCCAAGGAGCUGGAAGAGUGCAAAGCCCAACUUGAGGCCGCACUGGCCGCGGCAGGGAAGCCCAAAGAGACCCCCUCUGGUAAUAUACGCUUUGAAAGAUAAGUACUUCGCGAAGCGCGGCAUGGGUGUGAAUCUGACGAAUGAAAUUGCAGAUGGCGCCGGAUUGAAUCCGGAAAGGCAACACCUCCUACGCUAGCUAAAGGCUGGUGAGAAGGUGCUGACGAAGGUGAGGCGGGAGAAGAACGAUCUCCAGGAUGCCAACACCAAGCUGGGCGUCGAGCUGAAAGAUGUUCGUGCCCAGCUGUCAGACUCCGUAAAGGAGAAUCAGCGGCUUCGGCGCAGCAUAUUUAGUAAGUGCUUGAACGAAUCUUUAAAAGAAAGUUUGGCGGGGAAGUCGACUAACAGAGCAAUGUCUGUAGGUGUGCUAACAGGUCGUCCUGUAGAGGAGAUGCCCGGUUCUACGGGUGACCUUCUUCCCGAGCGCUCGCAACUGCUCGAUCGAGUUCGGCAGGCGAUGCAAGGCGUCGCUCAGGCCCUGUGGCCAUCCAUCUCCAUGCCCGAAGGUCUUGGAGAGCUUGCGGAGAAGCUAAAGGGAGCACGGCGGCGCUUCUGAUUAUGGAAGAUAUCGGCCUGCCGUCAAGGCGCUAGGGAGGCCUGGGUCAUGGUGAAGACACGAUACUCAAAGGCUGACCCCAACCACAUGGCCGAGGUCGGUCUUAUAGGGCCCGAUGGGAAGGGGAUCCCUGUAAGCUUAGUAUACGGUCAAGUAGAGUUGGCCGCAAAGUAUUCCCAGCAGGACUAUAAAUUAGACAGCCCGUUAGAUGGUAUUGAAGAGGAAUACAAUCAGUCAAAAUGACUAUGUAAUUUAGUUGACAUUUAUAAUGCCUUCUAGCAAGAUUGUAGAUCAUUUGUCAUGGCCGACCUUUUCGCUUCAACCUCGGGACCUGACGGUCCGGAGUGUGUCCGAAUUCCCAUGCGGUUAUAUAAGAACCGGGGAAUGCAUGGAGACCAGGCGUAGGGGUCAUUAGUGCGUGAACAGAUAAGUGCCCGACUAGUUAUGUUAUAUUACAUGGUUAGUAAGAAACAUCUUCUAGGGAGAAUAGUUCCGUUAGGGGUUCCUUUCCCUGGGAGGCAUGCCCUAAAGUGCAUGUCCAUGCUGCGAAAAGAAAUGCAGGAAAAACAUCUGGGGGCAUGUAGAUAAAUAAGAAAAAGAUCAUCUUUAGUUCACCGACCGAAUAUUCCCUUAAGAACGCUAGCUUUCGGCUUCACCCAGUCUGAGGUACACGUCCGGCUGACCCGGCAGUAACAAUCGCAGAGGUGCUCCCUUUACCACCUAGCCGAAUAAUCGGGAACGUAGGGGUAAGCACAGGAGCCAGUCAACCCAGCUUGGCCAAAAAUUAAGUCAUAUCGAUGCAUAUAAUGGUGAAUAAAAAGUACAUGCGAAAGUUUGACACAUGUGUUGGGCAUGAAGCCCGUAUAAAUAAACUUCUGUUUAAAGAAGCCCCCAGGUUUACGGAGCGCGGAUAGCGCAUCACUUUAUGAGCCUUUAAAGGUUAUAAGAGAGGGAAAGAGAGAGAAGGAGAGAAAUGUAAGACAUAAAGUAUAUAAAAAAUGGACAGAGUAAGGAGACGAACACAGGAUCCGGUGCUAGGCAUAGAAUCUUCGGAGACGGGCUGCGUUCCAUGGGUUCAGCUCGAGUCGGUUAUCCGAUGCGUUUCGCAGGCGGUACGCUCCACCAGUCAGGACUUGGUCAAUUAUGAAGGGACCUUCCCACUUGGGCUUGAGUUUGUCCUUUUUCUUGUCCGGCAGGCGUAGAACUAAUUCGCCAAUGUUGUAGUUUUUGGCCCGUACUUCUCUGCUUUGGUACCUUCGAGCCUACUAUUGAUAGAAUGUGAACGGGCUUUUGCCACGUCACGCUCCUCCUUUAAUGCGUCCAAACUGUCCUGCCGAUCGAGCUUGGCUUCUCUUUCCUCAUACAUGCGCACUCGAGGUGAGUCAUGAAUUAUGUCGCAAGGCAAAACUGUUGCCUCUGCGCCGUACACCAUAAAGAACGGUGUGUAUUCGGUGGUGCAAUUCGGCGUGGUCCGCAGCCCACAGAGUACGGAGUCGAGAUCCUCUACCCAGUGCGUGUUAUAUUCCUUGAGGGACCGCACUAAUCUGGGUUUAAUGCCGCUCAUGAUAAGACCAUUUGCGCGUUCGACCUGGCCGUUAGUUUGUGGGUGAUAGAUAGAAGCAUAAUCGAGCUUGAUCUCCAUGUUUUUGCACCAGAGUUUUACCUCGUCGGCCGUAAAGUUCGUGUCGUUAUCAGUGAUGAUGCUGUGGGGGACGCCGUAACGGUGUACAACCCUGGAUAUAAAGUCUAUCACAGGUCCGGAUUCGGCCGUCUUAAUAGGCUUGGCUUCUAUCCAUUUGGUGAACUUAUCCACCAUGACCAGUAAGUAUUUGUGCUUGUGGGUUCCGCCUUUAAGGGGUCCAACCAUGUCAAGCCCCCAGACCGCAAAGGGCCAAGUGAUGGGGAUAGUUUGGAGGGCAGUGGGUGGCAUAUGGCUUUGGUUUGCAAAGAGCUGGCAACCGAUGCAUUUUUGGACUAAGUCCUGGGCGUCUGCCCGGGCCGUUGGCCAAUAAAAGCCUGUACGGAAGGCCUUGCUUACAAGGGACCGAGCUGCAGCAUGAUGACCACCGAGUCCGACAUGGAUUUCAGCCAGGAGGUUCCGCCCUUCCUCUUCGGAGAUACACCUUUGAAGGACUCCGGUAGUGCUUUUCUUAUAAAGCUCUCCCUCGUGGACUUUGUAGGCUUUGGAUCGCCGCACUAUGCAGCGUCCCUCAUUUUGGUCCUCGGGGAGUUCCUGCCUAAUAAGGUAGGCGAGGAAUGGUUCUGUCCAACGGGCAAUGACGGCCAUUAUUACGUGGGCUGAAGGUGUCAUUUCAUUGGCGGAGCCGCCGAUUGUGUCAGAAUGUUCGGUGUCGGGCAGUGCGGUUGGGUCCGGGCUGUUAUUGUGCGGUUCCCCUUCCCAUACUACGGAUGGCUUGAACAGCCUUUCCAAGAAGAUGUUGGGGGCGACUGCAUCGCAUUUUGCGCCGAUGCGUGCCAGGACAUCUUCCGCCUGAUUAUUUUCCCGGGCUAUGUGGUGAAAUUGAAGCCCUUCGAACCGAGCUGACAUUUUUAGGACGGCGUUGCGGUAAGCCGCCAUCUUUGGAUCCUUUGCGUCGAAGUCUCCAUUUAUUUGGGAUAUUGCGAGGUUCAAGUCCCCGCGCACCUCUAGGCGUUGAAUGCCCAUGGAUACUGUCAUCCGGAGACCAUGUAAAAGGGCCUCAUAUUCGGUUGCAUUGUUGGAGUCUGUGUACAUAAUCUGGAGUACAUAUUGAACUAUGUCUCCUGUAGGGGACAUCAAAACGAUGCCAGCCCCCAGCCCGGCCAACAUCUUGGAGCCGUCAAAAUGCAUGAUCCAAUUUGAAUAUGUGCCGUACUCUUUAGGGAGUUCGGCCUUCGUCCAUUCUGCGACGAAGUCGGCCAAGACUUGCGACUUGAUGGCUCGCCGUGGCUUAUAAGUUAUGUCGAACGGGAGGAGCUCAAUGGCCCAUUUUGCAAUCCGGCCCGUCGCGUCACGGUUGUUUAUAAUAUCGUUAAGUGGUACUUCCGAGGCUAUUGUUAUUGAACACUCUUGAAAGUAGUGUCGUAGCUUCCGGGAUGCCAUGAAUACCACGUAUGCGAUCUUUUGAUAAUGCGGGUACCGUGAUUUGCAGGGAGUGAGGACAGUGGACACAUAAUAGACCGGCAUUUGAAGGGGGAAUUUGUGUCCGUCCGUUUCUCGUUCGGCAACGAGUACUGUGCUUACAACCUGAUGUGUUGCUGCAAUGUACAAUAGCAUUGGUUCGCCUGGGUUUGGCACGGCCAGGACUGCGUUUGUUGCCAAUAUGGCUUUUAUUUCGUCGAGUCCGGCCGUGGCUGCAUCCGUCCAUUUAAAAUGUUCGGUGCACCGAAGGAGGCGGUAAAGGGGUAAGGCCUUUUCUCCUAAGCGGGAGAUAAAGCGGCUUAGAGCCGCCACGCAUCCGGUUAACUUUUGUAUUUGUUUGAGGUCCUUUGGGAUAUCCAGUUGUGACAGAGCUCGGAUCUUGGCUGGGUUUGCUUCAAUUCCUCUACCGGAUACAAUGAAGCCCAAGAGCUUUCCGGCUGGAACGCCGAAAACACAUUUUUUCGGGUUGAGCUUGAUGUCGUACUAGAUCAUCGAUGGCACGCGUUGCUGUGCCUGUCUAUUUGCAUAAUAAAAUGAUAUAGUCUUGACAAAUAUAGAGGCACGAAACAUAUAACAUAUAACUUAAAUUUGCAUGAAUUGAACAAAGUUUGAUGGAAAUCCACAUGAUUGGAACUGCAGUAUCUCAAUAUAACUGAAUUCCGCCAUUGCAAGAUCAAAUGUUUAGGACUAAAUAUCAAAUAAUAUCCAAGCAAAAAAAGUACAAGUAAUAGAGUAUAUGCAAAGAGGGAUAAAAAUUGGCUAAGAAACAUGGUCUCUUCAAUCUGAAGAACAAAACAGUGGUGUAAGUGUAAGAUAUAAUAUUAUGUCAUACUCCCAUAUGCAAUUGUCUAAAUAUGGUACAAUCGUACUGGUCUUUCUCUAGCAACUGCAACAGGGCAAUUGAAAAUUGAUUUCUGUUUUGUGUCACCAAUCAAGCGAGGCUCCAAGCAUACAUAAUUGUUUAAAUGUGGUACCGCCAUACUGAUCUUUCAAGUUGCAGACCUGCUAGAAUGAUGUUUAGAGUAUGGAACGAGGAAAUAGAAAAAUCAACCAGCAAAGAAUAAGAUGGCACUGAAGCAUAAUAUCAUCUCGAUAGAUAAAGGCAUCAGGAAAAUUCAUUCCAUGGUAAAAAGUUUUCAUGCCUCAUUGGCAUGCAAGAUAGCUUGUGUAGCCUGAUGACGCAAAAUUACAAAAAUUGCACUGAUACAUAGGCAACUUCCCCUUGAACUGAAUAAAAGAAUAAAAUAUACCAGACCACUAAAUCCAUGAUAAUCACUUAUCUAUGAUUAUUUAUUACUCUGAUAACUAAAACGACUCCAUUACUUGUGAGAUACUAAUAUGCAAUGGGUUACAAAGCAGAUACAUACCUUCCAUAGAAAUUUCUCACGCCCAAGAUAAUAUGCCUUCACAGCAUUCUCCAACGCAUGAGCUUCUUUUCCACUACUACCAGGUAAGGAGAUAAGUAAUACUGCUAGAUGCAAUUUUCUGUGGUGAAAAUAGCAACACAAUCAGUUAGAUAACGAUCCAUAGUCAACGUAAUGUUUGCUUGCGUGUCAACUUGUACUCACCCUAAUAACACCAGGCUGCUAGCAAAAAGAAAAAAAUAUUACCAAGUGAAAGUGACACCCACAAUUUCACCAACAUAUUUACUGAUCUUUUGCGUAGUUUUUUUUUUCAUUACAGAAAAUAACAUGCAUAAAGAUCAAACUUGGUUCUUUUCGGUUUCUUAUCAUGAAAUCACUAAACGCUCUUAAAUUUAUUUACAGAGGGACUACCUUGUUACAUGGAACCAGGUUCUUGAGAAGUUUCAAACUUCAUGCUCCACUUGAUCUAUUCCCACCUAUCCAUGUGGAGGUACAAUUCAAUGCAGCAUGAAUAAAUUCAACAAGCUGAACCAGAAAAAGGAAAAAAAAAC